rnacentral:rRNA from 1 species
UAGCACAGAGAAGCUUGGCUUCCUUGGGGAGACGAGGGGGGCACGGGAGAAUAGUGUCUGGAGAUCUGCCCGAUAGAGGGAGAUACCCUGUGAAAGGGGGGUAUAAUACCGCAUAGCGGCGCGAGACCAAAGAGGGGGACCUUCGGCCCUCUCUAUAUCGGGUGACCCCAUAUGAGAUUAUAUAAUAGGCGGGAUAGUGCCCCCCCUAGGACACUACCCCUAUGUGGUGUGAGAGGAUGACCACCCACUGUGGAUGUGAGACGCGCCCCACACUUCUACGAGAGGCAGGAGGGGAAAAUAAUGCACACAUGGGCGGCCAAGCCUGAUUGCACCAGUGCCGCGUGUUAUGAAAAACGGCUUCGGUGUGAAGAACUACUUUCAGCGGAGAAGAAGGCGGAGAGGUUAAUAACCUCGCCGAGUGACGUACCCCGCAAAAAAAGCACCGGAUAACUCCGUGCCAGCACGCCGCGGUAAUACGGAGGGUGCAAGCGAUAAUCGGAAUUUACUGGGCGUAAAGCGCACGCAGGCGGUCUGUUAAGUCAGAUGAGAAAUCCCCGGGCUUAUACUCUGAGAACUGCAUUUGAAACUGGCAGGCUGACGUCUUGAGACUCUCGUAGAGGGGGAUAGAAUUCCAGGUGUAGCGGUGAAAUGCGUAGAGAUCUCUGGAGGAAUACCGGUGGAGAACGCGCCCCCCUGCAAAAACAGACUGACGCUCAGGUGCGAAAGCGUGGAGAGCAAACAAGAUUAGAUACCCUGAUAGUACACGCGCAUACAACGAUGUACGACGUGGAGGGUGCUCCCUUGAAGAGUGGCUUCGCAGAGCUAACGCGUUAACUCCACCGCCUGGAGAGUACGGCGCGCAAGGUUAAAACUCAAAUGAAUUGUGACGGGGCCCGCGCACAAGCGGUGGAGCAUGUGUGUUAUAAUUUCUGAUGCAACGCAGAAGAACUCUUACUACUACUUCGUGACAUCCAGAGAACUUAGCAGAUGAUGCUUGUGGUGCUCUUCGGAAACUCUGACACAGGUGCUGCUAUGUUGCAUGGUCGUCAGCUCGUUGUUGUGAAAGUGUUGGGUAUAAGCCCCAGACAACGAGGCGCACACUCCUUAACUCUGUGUUUGACAGACGUAUUUCGGUCGCGAAUACUCCAAGAGAAGAUCUGCCGGAUGUAAUAAACCGAAAGAAACGGUGGGAGUAAUGGACGUCAAGAUCAUAUCAGUGGCCCUAUACGAGUAGGGUCUACACACAGUGCUUCAUCAAGUGGGCGUCAUACAAAGAGAAGCGACCUCUGCCCGAGAGCAAGCGGACCUCACAAAGUGCGUCGUAGUCCGGAUCGGAGUCUGCAACUCGACUCCGUGAAGUCGGAAUCGCUAGUAAUCGUGGAUCAGAAUGCCACGGUGAAUACGUUCCCGGGCCUUGUACACACCGCC